UACGUAGGUGGCGAGCGUUGUCCGGAAUUACUGGGCGUAAAGGGUGCGCAGGCGGUUUCUUAAGUCAGAUGUGAAAUUCCGAGGCUCAACUUCGGAACUGCAUUUGAAACUGGGAAGCUGGAGUGCAGGAGAGGAAAGCGGAAUUCCUAGUGUAGCGGUGAAAUGCGUAGAUAUUAGGAAGAACCCCAGUGGCGAAGGCGGCUUUCUGGACUGUAACUGACGCUGAGGCACGAAAGCGUGGGGAGCAAACAGG
rnacentral:rRNA from 1 species